rnacentral:misc_RNA from 1 species
CCAAAAAAAAAAAAAAAAUUUAUAAACUAUCUUUAGUUCUGAUUGCGAUUGCUUGUUUAGUUUCGUUCAAGGCACGGGUUAUGUGUUUGCUUAUCCAAUAUAGAAACCCAUAGCAUUCGUGCAGAUUAUACUAUAAUUUAAGUCUCUUUAUUCGUUCCUUCAGAUAAAUUUUGCUUGGUCCCGACCAAAAUUUGUUAGUUUAGUUUCAGGUGUGUCUUGAGUCAAGGCAAAGUUCUUGGAAGCACUUUGACUAAAGGCAUUUUCAAUUUGUUGCAAUUUGAUGUUCUUGAUAAGCAUUUUAUGAUGGGAACUUCUGAGGCAGUUCUGCAAAUUUUUUCUUCUGGUUCUUGUAUUUUAAGUUCUGAUCCACGUGCUAGCAAUUUAGAUUUGAAUUUUGCUUCCAAAUUCCACAUAAAAUGUGUAAAGAAAAGGGCAUCGAGGCGUAAGCAAAUGUUCAACUGUUCAAGUUUUCUACAGAAUCGGAUAGGAAUCCAUCGGUUAAAGAGGACAAGAGACUAUGGUUUGUUUGGGAAUUCAACAGUUGACAGAUUGCAGCUUCUGACUUGCAAAUGCCAGCAGGCAGAAAGUGUUGGUGGUUUAACUGCAGAUGAUGGAAAUGGAACCUGGUUUGUAGAUAGUUCAAGGGCAUUACACCUUAAUGGUGUGAUAAAUCCUCCAAAUGUUUUGGAGUUCGAGGAUGUUCAGCAGUUGAAACAAGAAAAUGGUGAUUUGACAUCUAAUGGUGCAGUUAAACAGGAAAACGAGAGUUUGCCAAGUAAUGGUGCAUUAGGUAUAGGUAAAGAUGCCUCCAAGGUUACCAGAGAUUCUAUUGAAGAUGAAGCUUGGGACUUAUUGCUCAAUUCUAUGGUUUAUUAUUGUGGCAGUCCGAUUGGAACAAUCGCUGCCAGUGACCCUACUAGUUCCAGCGUGUUGAAUUAUGAUCAGGUCUUCAUUAGAGACUUUAUACCUUCUGGUAUUGCAUUUCUUUUGAAGGGAGAGUAUGAUAUU